UCGAACGAUGAACUGGAGCUUGCUCCAGGGAUUAGUGGCGAACGGGUGAGUAACACGUGAGUAACCUGCCCUUGACUCUGGGAUAAGCGCUAGAAAUGGCGUCUAAUACCGGAUACGAGCUUCAGCCGCAUGGCUAGGAGUUGGAAAGAAUUUUGGUCAAGGAUGGACUCGCGGCCUAUCAGCUAGUUGGUGAGGUAAUGGCUCACCAAGGCGACGACGGGUAGCCGGCCUGAGAGGGUGACCGGCCACACUGGGACUGAGACACGGCCCASACUCCUACGGGAGGCAGCAGUGGGGAAUAUUGCACAAUGGGCGAAAGCCUGAUGCAGCAACGCCGCGUGAGGGAUGACGGCCUUCGGGUUGUAAACCUCUUUUAGUAGGGAAGAAGCGAAAGUGACGGUACCUGCAGAAAAAGCACCGGCUAACUACGUGCCAGCAGCCGCGGUAAUACGUAGGGUGCAAGCGUUGUCCGGAAUUAUUGGGCGUAAAGAGCUCGUAGGCGGUUUGUCGCGUCUGCUGUGAAAUCUGGGGGCUCAACCCCCAGCCUGCAGUGGGUACGGGCAGACUAGAGUGCGGUAGGGGAGAUUGGAAUUCCUGGUGUAGCGGUGGAAUGCGCAGAUAUCAGGAGGAACACCGAUGGCGAAGGCAGAUCUCUGGGCCGUAACUGACGCUGAGGAGCGAAAGCAUGGGGAGCGAACAGGAUUAGAUACCCUGGUAGUCCAUGCCGUAAACGUUGGGAACUAGAUGUGGGGGCCAUUCCACGGUCUCCGUGUCGCAGCUAACGCAUUAAGUUCCCCGCCU
rnacentral:rRNA from 1 species